AUUGAACGCUGGCGGCAGGCUUAACACAUGCAAGUCGAGCGAGCGGCGGACGGGUGAGUAAUGUCUGGGAAACUGCCUGAUGGAGGGGGUUAACUACUGGAAACGUUAGCUAUUACCGCAUACAAUCGGAGUUGCCCGGAUGGGAUUAGCUAGUAGGUGGGGUAAUGGCUCACCUAGGCGACGAUCCCGAGCUGGUCUGCGAGGAUGACCAGCCACACGGGAACUGAGACACGGUCCAGACUCCUACGGGAGGCAGCAGUAGGGAAUCUUCCGCAAUGGGCGAAAGCCUGACGGAGCAACGCCGCGUGAGUGAUGAAGGUCUUCGGGUUGUAAAGCACUUUCAGCGAGGAGGCGUUACUCGCAGAAGAAGCACCGGCUAACUCCGUGCCAGCAGCCGCGGUAAUAC
rnacentral:rRNA from 1 species